CAACCACCCUAACGUCCAGCAACUGCCACCAGAGCUGCUUCACUCCUUGUCUGGCCUUCAAAGGGAGAGACUUCCUGUGCCGCCUCUAGGCUCACAAAGCCUGUCGCGGCAGCCUAGCCCGCAGCCAGGAUGCUGGACUGUCCUCUCACCGCCAGCCGGUUCUCUCUGGUCUCCGCGCUCCUUCUGGCUUCUCUAACCCUGCGGACUUCGGGUUGCCAGCGCCUCACCUGGGUCUGCGCGCCUUGAAUCGCUCACAGAGUAGUGAUCCCCAACCUACAAAUGAGGAAACCGAAGGAAGCCCAGAACCCUGGAAGGCAAUCCCCAGUGGCCACUGAGAGUAGUCACCAAAAACAAGUACUAGCUGGCUGCAGCUCCGAUCUUCUUGUCACGUCCUAUUCUGCAAACUGAGACCUAUCAGGGGCCUUUAUACCCAGGGCUGCUCCUCAUGCUAGUGUUGCACUGAAGAGAAAAUUAUCAAAGCCACGGCUGUGCACCUGCCUUCUCCAGGCCCCACCUGAAUAUUUGUACCAACAGGCUGUUUCUGAGUCUGGUAAGGAGGGCCACUCUGACCUCAGCUUUCCUGGGAUAUUUGGUGUGUAGGAUGCAGGGUUCUCUUCCAGCCCAGACUGCAGGUGAGGGAAGCAAUGUGUGUGUGUGUGCACAAGUCAAUGUAGACUUUACUGCUAAAGAAAAAAGAAAUCGGAAAAAAAAAAAAUGUUUUCUAAGAAGCUCAUGUCCAGAGAAACGUAAACCUCUAAAAAACUGAGGUCUGGAUCAGAAGGAUUUCUACUUUCAUUAAGGACUGAGUAAUUCAGAACAAUCUUCCAGAUGAAGACAACUAAAAAAGCUGGAUAAAAUAUUUUAAAAUUCAAAGGGCUAGUAAGGAAUUGCUAGGCCAAAACUUGGGAAAGGAUUCUGUGGACACAAGCGUGGAACUUGGGAUUGCUUUUGUUCUGGGGGAAGGGUGCAUUUGUUGAUUCUGUAGGGGGUUUGAGAAUCUAAACUGAGUUUUGGCAUCCUUUAAAGGCUUAUGGAAACUGGAAGUCCCAAGGCCAAAAAUGCUCAAGCAUAGAACUUAUUUAAGGUGACUCCAAACUGUUAGUAUCAAAAACUAGAAUUCUUUUGGGAGGAAGAGAAUAUCACCUUAGGCCUUGAUUUCUUUCUACAGAUACUUUCUUGAAUAUGGCUUCCAAAUUAUCAGAGGUAACCAGGCACCAGAAGGAGGACAAUACUAAGAAAAGAAUAACACACAACAGGGUCUCCAGAUGCUGGGAUAUUUGGACACAGACUGUACAACAACUAUGUACAUGCUAUUUUCAAGAAGAUAAAAAGCCAUGCUUAGAAAUUUGCCAGAGAACGCAAAAUUCUAACAGGUGGCACAGGAGAUUUUUGGGGGAGAAAAAUAUUCUAGACUAAAUUAAUAAUGGGCACUAGAGUUAAAAUAUAGUAGAAACUCAAGUAUGGUGGACUUGGUCCAUCUCUGAGCCCAGGAAAAAGUAAAGAUGAGCAAGUAACCUCAGAGAAAUUGAUAUAGUAGUUUACUGUUUUCCAUUUCAGCUUUUGGCCAUCACAAAAUGGAUACCCCAAAAAUAAAUAAUUUUAACUAUAUUAA